AAAGGCAGAGUUCAGUCGCUUGAGAAAGCUGAUGUCACCUUUGUAGGCAGGAACGACUUUAUCGCGGUUUCCAUAGCAACGAGUGGUGUUUUGGAGAGGCCCGGGAGGCGCUGUGAGCAGGCCCGAGCGCGGGCGCGCCGGAGUGUCCCCGCGCAGGUGCGGCCGGCCGGGCAGCGGGCAGCGAGCGCUCUUUGUGUGCCCUGCUAGCCUCCCGAAGGGGAAACAACGGGUCCAAAGGACAGCAAAGCGUUCUUCAGGCUUCAUUAAAACAAGCUGUAAGUAAGCAGAGUCCUGUGUUAGCAAAUACCUCAGAAACUGAACCAAGAUAGCGUUUUGGUGUCAGAGGGGUAAGAGAAAUGAGACCUCUCUUCCAACCUUUAAAAUAUGAAUUGGAAAAACACUGCCUGGUUUAUCAGUUUCUCUAUUUGCCAAACUCUCCCGAAAAGGAUCAAUUGGAAUUUUGCAAAAGGAAGAAAAUAACAGAUAGUUUAGAAUGGUUUACUGAAUUGAAUUUUAGAAGUAUCUUCUCCUGCAUCCCUGUGAGUGAGAAAGGCCAAGGACUCUUUGCUCUUACAUCGAAGGAUCCUGAAACAGGUGAAAAAAGCCCUAUCACUCAGACAAUUCUGCCUGACGGUUUAAGGUACAGCCCAACUGUAUUCAGAGAUCUGCUGGCAAAGAAGCUGGAGAGCUGGAGAAGUCAGCAAUUGAGAAUUGCUUCAUCCAACCAGCAGCCAAGAAUUGCUACAUCUAACAGUUGCGUGCAACCCACCGCCGCGGAAGAGGCCUAUUCCAGCAGACCAGACCUGAAGGAUGUGCCAGACUGAGAGCUGUGUGCAGAUGAAAGCAGCUUCGUGCGAGAUAGCAAACAAGCUACAGGUUAUGCAGUGACAACCAUGAACCAGGUAACCGGGCAACCAGGCAAAAGGCCUUGCCAUCAAAUGUAUCAGCACAGAGAGCUGAACUAAUUACAUCAAUGAAAGAUCUAGGACUGGGAGAAGUCAUCUGAAGGAAAGAAGACAGGCAACUAUUCAAGGCAUGCGGGGAACUGCGUAACUUGUUUGGAUGGGGUAGUGGAGAAGCACAUGGGGUUCAGUCGUUGCAAGACUGCCAGGAAACCAAGCUAAGUGCACUGAAACUUUCCUCAAAACCAACCAAAGGAGAGAAGAAGUGGACUUCAGCUGUAAAAUGAUAAUAUCCCUUCAGUGAUUUACUUUUUUAAAGUGUUUGCUGCUGGAGUGGAGCUUAUUAAAAGUGGGUACCUGAUUGACCAUGAUGCCCUGCUCCUGCUCAAUAUGCUUAAUUGUUUCAUUUAUGAAAAACUGACAUUUGCAAUGUAAUUAUUUUAAAUUAUUUGGGUUCUUUUAUGUCUAAAUGUGAAUAUUUUCAAAAGACCUUUUUUCAUUAAAAUAUAUAAAGCAAAUAAAUGCAAUAUAUUUUGGGCAUUACAUCAGAAGACUUUAGUUAGGUCUUUUUUUCCAUGUCACCUCCUAAGGGAAGUACACAUUAAAUUGCAUAGCUUGCAUGGCAAAAUAAGUACAGCUUUUCAUCACCAGUGGUUCUAAGAGAAAGCUUAGUUUUCUAGUGGGACAUACAAUCUUUUGCUGGAUGGACUUCUGAAAGCAAUCUAGAUGUUUCUCCAUUGAAUAAUUGUGAACACAAGGGAUGCUCUUCUAUUGCCCUUGAAAAGGCUCCCUGAAUGAGCUCCUGAGGAAUCUGGGCUGAAGAUUGCUUUCAGAUUUGUAACAGAUUGUUGUGUUUCUGAAGUAUUGUAUGUGUGUGCCUGCAUUGUGUGUAUAUAUAUGUGUGUGUGCAAGCAUAGAUACAAAAAAAUCCUCAUGGUCAAACGUCAGACAAGUGGUAUAUAGUAAAUGUUUUGGCUUAAAUUGGCAAAGAGGAAAUUAAAUGCUUCGAAGGAUUAUUAGGACAUUCUAAAAAUUUAAACAUUUAAACAAGAAUGGGAAAAAUAUGAGGCAAGACAAGAGGGUGAAAGAGAAAGGCAUGCAUGUAAAACCAAACCAAACAGGUAAGUGUCCUGCUUUCGGACUUUGGUAAACUUUCAGUGACUUGGUCUCAAUUGGCUGCCAAAUAUGACCAUUUUAAGACAUGCAGGACUUUAAAACCCAAGAAACACUUCACAUUAAUUAUUUAACAUUUUUCUCAAGUUCUCCCUUUCUCCUUCUAUAUGUUUCUUAAUACAUUUCUUAUAUAUGGACAUUUUUCUCCUACAUACUCCCGUCCCUUCCUAAUUUUCAUAAUACAGGGAUUUGAUUCAAAACCCACAGCUAUGUUAGGAAAGAGCUAGAAUCUGCAGCUUCUGGGAAAGGGGACUAGGAGUACUCUGCUCCCCAGGAAGAAGAAGGGUCAGGUUUUUUUUUCCUGGCUGCUACACAGCAAUUUUUGUUUUGUUAGCAAGCAUAUAAACCCUCCCACCUCCUUUCUUUUAAAUGGGUGGUGAAGGUAAUCUGGAUUUCUUUAGUUCUCUGAAAGAUCUUCAGCUAAAAUCCUGUAUCCUUAAAAGUGACUCCAAAAGUUACUCUGGAACCUCUGGAAUGACACGUUUUAGCAAGCAUAUACAAGACUGACUAUGUUCUUAAUAAGCAGCAGGUAGCUGAUAAGAAAAUCAAGUCUUUGCCGUCAAACUGGGUUAACGUUUACCAAAGUAAAGCCCUGGCCUGCCAGAAAAUGCUCAGAAGACAAAAGACUGCUGUGUCCUAGACACUCUGAAGCAAGGCCCUGCAUUUUCUUUUUUUUUUGGGGGUGGGGGGGACGGUUUGGGGAGCAGUUGUUCAGACCUUUUUGCUUACCUGCUAGUACUCCUUUGAGGAUGGUGUAUGAUUUUUGCUUAUGCUUCUGCCAAACAGCCCUCAGUAGUCCAAUUUAUAAGGUAGGCCUGGAGAGGCCUUAAAAUCAAGGUUAUGAUUAACUGGAGUGACUCUUGACUUUCAUCUAAACAGCCAUAUCUUUUGACGUGAGCUCAAAAUAUCUAUAUCCAGUAUACUUCAGACUCUUUAGAACAUUACUGCACACAGGUUCAUGUUAUUAUUCUUAGUUUAAUAUGUUUUUCAUACCUUUAUACAGCUGGUUGAAAUAUUUUUCUUGGAAACUAGUUGUCUAGGAAACAUUUCUUUUAUGUGGAUGGUUCAUUCUAAAAGUGAACCUAUAUGUUUGUAAACAUAAUACUUUGCAUAUUUUUUCUGGAUGACUUAAUAAAAACUAAGCCUUCAAGUUACUGAUACAUUGUUUAUAUCAACUAUUAUAUUUGUUUUCUAUUCAUAGUUCUUGUUUUCAUGGCUUUCGCAAUUUUAUUUUCUCAAGCUUGAAAACAACUGGAACAGAUCAUGGCAGUGUACUAAUAGCUACUAACCUUUCUUGAAGGCAAAUAUGGCUCCAGUUCCUUCUCCUCAGAUAGGAAUUUCUUCACUUGCAAAUAACAAGUUGUGCUAGGGAUUAAAAUGUUUCAGCCCAUUACCCAAGCCAUUUCUGAUUUUGCACUCCUUUGCUUAAAAGACUUAGAGACUGUACCCAAACAACAAAGUUUAGAUCCUGUCUGCAGCCAUUUUAGAAAUAUAAGUGAUUUGAGCAGUUGAGGUUUUUUGAUCUAUUUCUACAAUAAAGAAGGAAUUUUUUUUAAUGGAAUUUAUAAGGAAUUGCUCCCUUCAUCCAGUGUCUUGUGCCCAGGUGUGGUAAAUGAACUCUUGGAUACUGAGUUUUUCUAUCACAGGUAUCCCUUUUCCCACCUUUGGUGUGUAUUGUGCUACCCAUCACACCUCUCUGUCACUGAGUCAGUGAUGUCAGCAGCAACUGUGCCAGAUGACUGGGACUAUAGGGUACAUUUUUACUACAUGAAGCAGAUGCUCUUCUUUAUUUAACAUUGAUUAAAAAUCAAUCUGUCUUCUAAGUCUUCCCAUCUGCAAAACACAUAGGCUCAGGAAGUGCGGCUGGGAUUUUGAUUAAGUGCAUGUUUUCCUCUCCUCUUCUUUUAAAGGUAUGAAUGAAACAUGAGGAAAAUGACACCCAAACUUCCGUGGUGUGUGAAGAUUUUAAAAUACUCAGCCAAUUUUUUCCUUUCUUCUUUUCCUUCCUCAGCCAUAGUAGAUUAUUUCUUACAUCUGGGUUUCAGUAGAAACAGGAAGCUGAUGAAUCAAAUGUCCAUAGGGAUUGCCCUUAUGGAUUUUUAAAGCUGUUGGCAAGAAUGAGGUAAAUCACCUCAAACCUCAACUUUUGAGGUUUGGUGAAGAAUGCACUGCAAAAGGCUUCAGAGAACUUUGGAGGAAGUCCCCUGGCAGGGAGAUGGUCAUUGAAAUAAUGGAGUGAUCUAAAGUCACAGUUCCUUGAAGCCGAUUCUAACUGCAAUUAUCAGUCCUUAACUACGUCCGUUUUACAGAAAAUAUCCACCUCCCUCAGUGACAUCAUUAAUGGCUUGGAAAAAUAUUGUGGAGAACAUAAUUUAUCUUCCAAGGUCAUCACAAUUUUGAGACAAUUAUUCUUAUCUUCCUGAAAGGGAGGAGACAGUUUUAAGAGGGAGUGCAACUUCUGCUGUGCUGUAUGUGCUGAUCUAGCUAUUGACAAUGUUUGAAGGAAUUUUGCUGCAUUUUCCUGGGUGAGUGCUAGCCUAGCUGAAGGAUGGGAAACUGCAUGAAAUAAACUGGGAUUUUGUUAUAGGCCCAGGGAAGGCAAAACCUUAAAAACGCAGUUGCAAAUGCAUCUCCCAUGGACAGUUCUCUUACUCCAUGCAACCAGUCCUGUGCAUGUAUUACAGCAUAAUUAAAAGUCAAUUAAAACCAGCUUUCCUAGCAGUUUACUUGACACUUGCACUGUAAAAACAGGAAAUUGAAUUGUAUAGUGAAGAAUACUCAGUACACAAGUUAACACGAGCUAACUGAUUUAUGAAAAAACUGUCAUGAACAGAAUUGUGGUAUUUUACAGUAAAAAUAAUCUAUUUAAGACUCAUAGUUAAAUUCUUUUUCUAAAUAACAAGUAAAAUAGCAAAAUUAUUCUUAGUUUGAGUGGUUUUAUCUUUGGAGAGCCUAGUAAAGGAUGUUUUAUACGAGCUAUUGCAACAAAACCAACAUUCAAUAGAGGAAAAAGAAGACUAGAAUAAUCCAGUUGUGCCAUUAGAGAUGAUCAAAGUUUGGACAUUGGUUAUUUCAUCCAAAGGCUUGGUAAAAUACACUUGAAGACAUCAAGUCCCAGGUCUGAUUCAUGAAGUUCUAGGAUCGGCACAUGAAAACAAUGAACUGUAUGGCUUCAUCUUUCUUCCCCUUUCUCCAACAAAUGUAGAGAAGCUGGAAGUCUGGGUAAAUAAGGUCAGACAUAUCAAUCAAUUAAUUUAGGAAGAAGCUGUUUGCAAUUAAAAUAUAAAAAAUCCAAAAUGGUGGAUGUUUCUGUGUUUAGUGAAAAACACAACAAAGGUGGAA